GAUGGAUCCGUUCAUUCAUCCGCCUCCCCAACCAGCCAGCACGACCUGCGUGUCAGCUCUGUGCCCCUCUGCUGGGACACAACCAUGUGUCAGAUAGAGUAGAUUCUCAGGAAACUCCUCCUGGAAGCAGACAGCUGACAAAUAGUAACAAAAGCACAAGCAGUUACACAGGAAAGGGGAGAAGAGGAAGCCGUGGCUCUCCCUGGGUGCAACUGGGAAGACUUCCUGGAGGAGGUUAUAGCAGGGCUGGCCCUAAAGAUUCAGCAGGGCUUCCCCAGCUGGAGAAGAUGGGGGUAGACAGCAGAAACAACAGGGAUGAGCAAAGACACAGUAAUGUGUGUCUGGAAUAUGGUGGCAAGAGCAAUGCGGCUGGCGUGUACUGCUUGAGCAGCACAAUCAGGAAAGAGUGGAGAGGCAGCAGGGACCAAACCUUGAGGUCCAGCUUUGGAUGCUUUCCUGAGGGCAAGGAGGAGCCCUUGAAGCAUUGAUUGAUGGAUUAUUCCAUUGACUGGUUAUUUUAAGCAGGGAGUGACAAGACAAAGAUUUGUAUUUUAGAAAGGCACUAUGGGGGCUUUGAGUGGAAGAGAGAAGCUGGAAGCCAGGAACUCAGGCAGGAGACUGGAGCAAUGAUCCAGAGAAGUAGGAGGCUUUGAUCCAGGUCAGGAGCAGCAUUCUGGAAAUGGGACCUCUACGCUGAGCCUUGAAAGCUGAGAAGGAGCGCACCCAGUGGAGAAGGUGGGAAGGGUGUCUAGACCAAAGACACAGCAGAGAUAAAGUCUCAACACACAGAAAGCUCCUGGGCAGCCUGGGGAAAUUUCCACUGGUGCUGUAGGGCUGCAGCCUGGUCUGAGAGAGAGGGCGUGGUGAGGGUGAGGCUCAAGAAGCCGGUCAGGACAGACCCCCAGGGCCUCUAUUCCCUGAACCUGGACGCAGGUGGAGAGGAAAAGGUGCCUCACCACUUGUACAGAUGUAGAUGUGCUGGGCAGAGAGCCCUAGUCAGGGCUGCCCCUUUCUCAAAGCAAACCUCCCCAUGUUUACAACACUUCUCAGGUCCCCUGGAGAGGAAGGCAAAAAGAGAUUAUUCUUCCUAUGGAUUAGAUAAAGAAACUAAGGCCCAGAAAGUGCAGGAACCUGACCAAGGUCAUUCAAGAGCUUAGGUAUCCAUCCCCCUUUCAAUUUCCCAUGUUGUUUGCAGUAAGCCAGCUUGACCCCGAAUCACUACACAAUGGAUAGGUAGAUAGAGUAGCAGCUAACUAAUCUGGUUGGAAUGGAAAAAAGGAGGAGGGUUGGACGCAUCAGAGAAAGAGACCACUUUUUCAUGUCCUAUUUCUUCAACCUUCAUGCUGGGACAUCCCAGAUGAUAAAACAGGUGCCCUCUGCUUUGGAAACCAAGAGACAGGAGGGCAAAUCCCAGCUCUGCCACUUAUUAGGUGUCACUCCACUUCACUGAGCUUUGUUUUUUCCAUCCAGAAGGGAGAGAAAAAAACUCCAAUCCAUCAGAAUUGUGAGAAUUGAAUGUGACAGUGUAGCACUGCAGUAGUCAUCUGUUGCUGAGUAACAAAUUACGCCCCCCCCCCAAAAAAAAUUAGCAGCUUAAAACAACCGGUAUUUAUUAAUCUCACAUAAUUCCAAGGGUCAAAAACCCACAAAUGGAUUGAUUGGGUGGGGCUGGCUCAGAAUCACUACUAAUGCUGCCGUCAAGUGUCAGUGGGGGUUGUAUUCAUCUGAAGGCUCGACUAGGGUUGCAGGAUCCUCCUCCCAGCCCACUCUGUUCCUUGCUGGCAGUUGGCCAGACUGCUACUCCUUCUUACAUAGGCCUCUAAAUAAGGUCACUCCUCACACAGAAACUAACUUCCCCUAGAAUGAAUGACUUGGGAAAGAAGCUGGGCAUGGUGGCACUCGCUUGUAAUCCCAGGAGCUUGGGAGGCUGAGGCAGGAGAAUCGUGAGUUCAAA
rnacentral:lncRNA from 1 species